GAACCGGUGGUGUAGUGGGUAACACGUUGCAUUUGAAUGUGAAGAGGAAUGGUUCGAUUCCUUCCCGGGCCC
rnacentral:tRNA from 1 species